GCUUUUUGAAGUCUUCGGAUGGAUAGAAGAACCCCUGAUGCCGUCGAGCCAAGAAAAGUUUCUAAGUUUAGCUAAUGUUGCCCGUACCGUAAACCGACACAGGUGGGUGGGAUGAGUAUUCUAAGGCGCGUGGAAGAACUCUCUUUAAGGAACUCUGCAAAAUAGCACCGUAUCUUCGGUAUAAGGUGUGGUUAGCUUUGUAUUAGGAUUUACUCCGAAAGCAAGGAAACUUACAACAAAGAGUCCCUCCCGACUGUUUACCAAAAACACAGCACUCUGCUAACUCGUAAGAGGAUGUAUAGGGUGUGACGCCUGCCCGGUGCUCGAAGGUUAAUUGAUGGGGUUAGCAUUAGCGAAGCUCUUGAUCGAAGCCCGAGUAAACGGCGGCCGUAACUAUAACGGUCCUAAGGUAGCGAAAUUCCUUGUCGGUUAAAUACCGACCUGCAUGAAUGGCGUAACGAGAUGGGAGCUGUCUCAAAGAGGGAUCCAGUGAAAUUGUAGUGGAGGUGAAAAUUCCUCCUACCCGCGGCAAGACGGAAAGACCCCGUGGACCUUUACUACAGCUUGACACUGCUACUUGGAUAAGAAUGUGCAGGAUAGGUGGGAGGCUUUGAGUAUAUGACGCCAGUUGUAUAUGAGCCAUUGUUGAGAUACCACUCUUUCUUAUUUGGGUAGCUAACCAGCUUGAGUUAUCCUCAAGUGGGACAAUGUCUGGUGGGUAGUUUGACUGGGGCGGUCGCCUCCCAAAUAAUAACGGAGGCUUACAAAGGUUGGCUCAGAACGGUUGGAAAUCGUUCGUAGAGUAUAAAGGUAUAAGCCAGCUUAACUGCAAGACAUACAAGUCAAGCAGAGACGAAAGUCGGUCUUAGUGAUCCGGUGGUUCUGUGUGGAAGGGCCAUCGCUCAAAGGAUAAAAGGUACCCCGGGGAUAACAGGCUGAUCUCCCCCAAGAGCUCACAUCGACGGGGAGGUUUGGCACCUCGAUGUCGGCUCAUCGCAUCCUGGGGCUGGAGCAGGUCCCAAGGGUAUGGCUGUUCGCCAUUUAAAGCGGUACGCGAGCUGGGUUCAGAACGUCGUGAGACAGUUCGGUCCCUAUCUGCCGUGGGCGUAAGAAGAUUGAAGAGAUUUGACCCUAGUACGAGAGGACCGGGUUGAACAAACCACUGGUGUAGCUGUUGUUCUGCCAAGAGCAUCGCAGCGUAGCUAAGUUUGGAAAGGAUAAACGCUGAAAGCAUCUAAGCGUGAAGCCAACUCUAAGAUGAAUCUUCUCUAAGCUCUCUAGAAGACUACUAGUUUGAUAGGCUGGGUGUGUAAUGGAUGAAAGUCCUUUAGCUGACCAGUACUAAUAGAGCGUUUGGCUUAUCUUUAAUAAAGCAU
rnacentral:rRNA from 1 species